UUGGGAAUCUUCGGCAAUGGACGAAAGUCUGACCGAGCAACGCCGCGUGAGUGAAGAAGGUUUUCGGAUCGUAAAACUCUGUUGUUAGAGAAGAACAAGGACGUUAGUAACUGAACGUCCCCUGACGGUAUCUAACCAGAAAGCCACGGCUAACUACGUGCCAGCAGCCGCGGUUAUACGUUGGUGGCAAGCGUUGUCCGGAUUUAUUGGGCGUAAAGCGAGCGCAGGCGGUUUCUUAAGUCUGAUGUGAAAGCCCCCGGCUCAACCGGCGAGGGUGCUUGGAAACUGGGAGACUUGAGUGCAGAAGAUGUGAGUGGAAUUCCAUGUGUAGCGGUGAAAUGCGUAGAUAUAUGGAGGAACACAAGUGGCGAAGGCGGAUCUAUGGUCUGUAACUGACGCUGAGGCACGAAAGCGUGGGGGGCAAACAGG
rnacentral:rRNA from 1 species